rnacentral:tRNA from 1 species
GGGUUUUCGCUGAAAUCCCAGGUGAGAAUACGCAAGCGGGUAUGUCGUACAGCCCAAACCGCCUUACAAGCGAGGGGUCACUGGUUCGAACCCAGUAGCGCCCACCA